rnacentral:rRNA from 1 species
GACGAACGCUGGCGGCGUGCUUAACACAUGCAAGUCGAACGGAAAGGCCCUGCUUUUGUGGGGUGCUCGAGUGGCGAACGGGUGAGUAACACGUGAGUAACCUGUCCUUGACUUUGGGAUAACUUCAGGAAACUGGGGCUAAUACCGGAUAGGAGCUCCUGCUGCAUGGUGGGGGUUGGAAAGUUUCGGCGGUUGGGGAUGGACUCGCGGCUUAUCAGCUUGUUGGUGGGGUAGUGGCUUACCAAGGCUUUUGACGGGUAGCCGGCCUGAGAGGGUGCCCGGCCACAUUGGGACUGAGAUACGGCCCAGACUCCUACGGGAGGCAGCAGUGGGGAAUAUUGCACAAUGGGCGGAAGCCUGAUGCAGCAACGCCGCGUGCGGGAUGACGG